GUAGGUGGUUGUGAUUUCUGAGCAACGGACUGAAAAUCCGUGUGUCGGUGGUUCAAUUCCACUCCUGACCA
rnacentral:tRNA from 1 species